GCAGGAGCAUCCACCGCUGCAGCAGUUUGCACAGCUGAGAAGUCCGAGAUUCAAGAGGGGAGGAGGUGGGAGAGGCUGGAGGAUGGUGGGGUGGCAGUGACAGCUCCGGGCCCGCCCGGGCUGGGCGGCGCAGGUGCGCUGGGGGCGCGGGGCACCCGAGCCCGGGCGCAGGUGCGCGGGGGCGCGGGGCGCGGGGCGCACGGGCGGGCAAAUAGCUGACAGCAUCGUCACGGCGGCGCGAGGCAGCUCGCGCCCCGCCUACCUGCGGGAGGAGCCCGUAUCCGCACAGCCUGCGCUGCCCGGUCCUAUUCGAGGCGAGCUCAGAAGCAGCUCUGGGAAGAGUUGUGUUCAUCCUCAGAGAAGAUGGGAAAGGUGCCGCAUCCCAUCUUUAGUUGUAAGAUUGUGGUUCCCAUAAGAUGACAAUGACUGCUGACAGCUCCCAGGCUCGCCUGCAAAGCGUUGUUGGCUACUCGCCAGGUGGGAACCUGCCUGUCUUCUGUCCUGAAAAAUGCUGGUUUUCCCCUUUAAAACUCUAGUUCACGUUCUAUGGGGGUCUGGGAGACUUAAACUACAAGCUCUGUGAAUCGUGUUAUGUCCAUUGAAUGCUUAUCUACAUGGCUGUGGUGGAAUUCAGUUUCUUCCCACUGUGCAGUGACACAACGUGCCUUCCUUAGGAAUUUAUUCUACAUAUUUGCCCACAUUAUUUUUUGAAUGACCCCCUUCCAUGUGAGAAGCUAGUCCUAGCAUAGGGGACCUUUUCUGUUUGGAACUGAAAACUUGAGGAAAAAUUUCUUUUUAAGGAAGAUUUUCUAGGUAACAGUAAAAGGUUGGAGCAUUUUACAUUCCAAAUCAGCCCAAAUGUUAUUCUUUCCCAGUGACAUUUGGAUUCGAGGAGGUGGAGUGGGAGGGAGAGAAAAGGGGAGGAUAAAAUUAGAAUAAAUUUAACAAAUUUGUGAGGGAAUAAUACUUUUUUUUUUUGGUCGUUGCCUGAAAUUGCAAAUUGUCAACAAUUCUAUCUUUGGAAAUGCAGGAGAUCCUAUGGGCCGAGAUGCAGGAAAAUCCAUAGUUCAUUUGACAGAAACAGAAGACACAAAACAAGGAAGCAUUUUCAUCCCAUUUAACACAUGGCGUUUAAUUUGGUAACAGGGACUCCAGUGCCCAGUGAACUC
rnacentral:lncRNA from 1 species